CAAUAGCGUAUAUUAAAGUUGUUGCGGUUAAAAAGCUCGUAGUUGGAUUUCUGCUGAGGACGAUCGGUCCGCCCUCUGGGUGAGUAUCUGGCUCGGCCUUGGCAUCUUCUUGGAGAACGUUACUGCACUUGACUGUGUGGUGCGGUAUCCAGGACUUUUACUUUGAGGAAAUUAGAGUGUUUCAAGCAGGCGCACGCCUUGAAUACAUUAGCAUGGAAUAAUAAGAUAGGACCUUGGUUCUAUUUUGUUGGUUUCUAGAGCUGAGGUAAUGAUUAAUAGGGAUAGUUGGGGGCAUUCGUAUUUAACCGUCAGAGGUGAAAUUCUUGGAUUUGUUAAAGACGGACUACUGCGAAAGCAUUUGCCAAGGAUGUUUUCAUUGA
rnacentral:rRNA from 1 species